rnacentral:rRNA from 1 species
GACGAACGCUGGCGGCGUGCUUAACACAUGCCAGUCGAACGGAAAGGCCCUGCUUGCAGGGUACUCGAGUGGCGAACUGGUGAGUAACACGUGGGUGAUCUGCCCUGCACUUCGGGAUAAGCCUGGGAAACUGGGUCUAAUACCGGAUAGGAGCCAUUUUUAGUGUGAUGGUUGGAAAGUUUUUUCGGUGUAGGAUGAGCUCGCGGCCUAUCAGCUUGUUGGUGGGGUAAUGGCCUACCAAGGCGGCGACGGGUAGCCGGCCUGAGAGGGUGGACGGCCACAUUGGGACUGAGAGACGGCCCAGACUCCUACGGGAGGAAGCAGUGGGGAAUAUUGCACAAUGGGCGCAAGGCUGAUGCAGCGACGCCGCGUGGGGGAUGACGGCCUUCGGGUUGUAAACUCCUUUCGCUAGGGACGAAGCUUGUUGUGACGGUACCUAGAUAAGAAGCACCGGCUAACUACGUG